UGGGGAAUAUUGGACAAUGGGCGCAAGCCUGAUCCAGCCAUGCCGCGUGUGUGAAGAAGGCCUUAGGGUUGUAAAGCACUUUCAGUGGGGAGGAAGGGUGUUGUGUUAAUAGCACAGCAUUUUGACGUUACCCACAGAAGAAGCACCGGCUAACUCCGUGCCAGCAGCCGCGGUAAUACGGGGGGUGCAAGCGUUAAUCGGAAUUACUGGGCGUAAAGCGCACGCAGGCGGCUUUUUAAGUCGGAUGUGAAAGCCCCGGGCUCAACCUGGGAAUUGCAUCUGAUACUGGGAAGCUAGAGUAUGUGAGAGGGGGGUAGAAUUCCAAGUGUAGCGGUGAAAUGCGUAGAGAUUUGGAGGAAUACCAGUGGCGAAGGCGGCCCCCUGGCACAAUACUGACGCUCAGGUGCGAAAGCGUGGGGAGCAAAACAGGAUUAGAUACCCUGGUAGUCCACGCCGUAAAACGAUGUCUACUAGAUGUUCGUGGUCUUGUACCGUGAGUAUCGCAGCUAACGCAUUAAGUAGACCGCCUGGGGAGUUCGGUCGCAAGAUUAAAAACUU
rnacentral:rRNA from 1 species